CAUUUCAGUGUGAUUUCCACAAUAUUUUUGUGGCUGCCUCACCUUCUUUUGGGCCUGUUUGACAUGAGGGCUCAUUGGUCAGUGACGAUGUCCAGCAGCCUCAAUGUUAAUGUCCAGUGAAGGCCUGGACACAUGAGGACCAGUCCUCCCUCUCCUUCUACAUAUGCCUUUAGUCCACAGCUGUAGCAGCCGUCACACAACCUCAGGCAGCCUAGUUAGCCCUGAGAUAUAAAGCCUGGACCCACGAUCAAUAACUUUAGUCUUGUCUGUCUAAUUGCUCAUUGGUCGAACAUUGGCGCCAGACUGUACGGUAUGUAAGUGCACGUUCCCUCGAGUGUCCACUCCGACUCCAGACCCAACACUUUCAACCCACCGUUGGUCUCAUAGUCUUCCUCUCUCUCUCUUUUCUGUUUUUCCUGUCCUCGCUUCUGUUACAGAUAGAAAGAUUCUGACCUGAUCGGCUGCUACUCACUUAUCCCAGCAAGAUGAGAGCGUCCGGUUGAUCUCAGCGGGCCCGUGACUCCCAAGCUGUGCAGCACCUGCCAUCCAGUUGCAGUUGGCUAAUCGCACCAUGGUCCGAGUUUUUGGACAGUUCUCCGUCUAGUCUGGCUUCAACCACCUUCACAUCGACAACAACAUCAGCUUCGUCAGAGACUGUGGACAGAAGCCUGCGUCCCAGUGAACCAGGGUCUAGAUCUCCUUGCACGUGCCUCAAAUUCAACAAGGCUGAAUGGACACCAGUGGACAACAAGCUGCACAAAGCCAGUAGCAGGAGACCCUGGAGAACGAAGACAGUUAGAAUAAAUGGGAGGUCAUGGCCUGAUGGAAGCAACAAAUGAACAAUCAAUUGAAAGUAAGCAUCAGCCAGGAGCACAGCGAUAUCCUGUCAGACGACUGCUUGGUUCUGACGCUGUGACCUGCUAAUGGAUCGUCUGUGAGUGAAUAUUUUUUGAAGAAAUCUCUGAGCCAAAGAUGAAGAUAAAUGAACCAAAGAUGGUGGUAAAGAAUAACUGGAAAGAAAGAAGGUCAGUGGUUGUUGACCACAGGUCCACACACACACAUCCUUUCUUUUCUUUGAAACAACUAAAGGUUUUCUACUCCAUAUAAGUGCUCAUGCGUGGUUUCAAUUCAAUCUGACCUUUCAUUGAUCUGAAAGAAAAAAAUCAAGUGAAUACCAAGAAGGCCACAGGCCUGCAGCUCUGCACCCGCUGACCACCUCAGUAUA